rnacentral:rRNA from 1 species
GAUGAACGCUAGCGGCAGGCCUAACACAUGCAAGUCGAGGGAGAAGCCCUUUCGGGGGCAGAAACCGGCGCACGGGUGCGUAACGCGUAUGCAACCUACCUUUCACAGGGGGAUAGCCCGAAGAAAUUUGGAUUAAUACCCCAUAAUAUUAUUGAAUGGCAUCAUUUGAUAAUUAAAACUGAGGUGGUGAAAGAUGGGCAUGCGUCCUAUUAGCUAGUUGGAGUGGUAACGGCACCCCAAGGCUACGAUAGGUAGGGGUCCUGAGAGGGAGAUCCCCCACACUGGUACUGAGACAGGGACCAGACUCCUACGGGAGGCAGCAGUGAAGAAUAUUGGUCAAUGGUCGGAAGACUGAACCAGCCAUGCCGCGUGCAGGAAGAAUGCCUUAUGGGUUGUAAACUGCUUUUAUAUGGGAAGAAUAAGGCGUACGUGUACGUGAUGACGUACCAUAUAAUAGCU